UGGGUCAUCGUAGGGGAUUAUGGGUAUUCUCAUUGAAACUGUAUACUGUAUGUUAUGUUGGAAUUGGAUGUUCAUUGGAAAUGUACACAGAUCCUAGGCUAGGGCUUAUGCGCGACGACUACAUUCCGGAAUCUGGAUAUGGAACUAAGACUUCUGAGCCUGGAUCUACCAUGGAUAUUCAAAAUACCUGCUCAGACUGGUCACCAUCAUAAAGGUCAAAGGUUAUCCCCACACCAGCCGUAAGUGUUGUACAUGGAGUAACCUUCAAUCAAUGUGGGAUGAAGCAAAGGAAUAUCUGAAUGGACUGCUGCUGGUCUUGGAUUGAAUGGCAAUAGUUUCUCAAUAACUUACUUCAUUUGAAACGUCAUUGGGAUAAGGUGUGAUGCUCCGUUAUUCAUUUUCUUCAUUAAAAACAAUAAAAAAUUAUAAAUAGUUGUGACAUGACCAACAUGAAAACAACAUAAAUCUUGUACAGAUAUAUUUAUUUUGCUAUUUAAGAGCGAAGUACAUGGAGUGACUCUUGAGUGUGUUAGACCAAAACUGGAUACUUACUUGGAAUAUAGACAUUUCUUUGAUCCGUUUGAGAGAAAGUAGACAUGAUGUGUGACGUCAUGCCGACAAUCUCGGAGGACGGGGUCAGUCUGCGUGACUCGACACUCGGCGAUGACGCCAACUUUGAACAGCUUAUGGUCAACAUGCUAGAGGAACGGGAUCGUUUGAUGGAGACGCUCCGUGAAACUCAGGACUCAUUAGCGAUCACUGAGCAGCGUGUUGAGGAAGUAGAGAAGGAACGCGAUCUUUUACAGAAGCAGAUGUCGUCUAAUCUACCUCGUGUAAGUAUAUUGCAUGCAAUAAAAUUCAAUCCAUGAUCUUCCCAUUUAAACUGAAAUUCCCUCUUGGCCUCUUUAAUAAUUUCUUUUAAUUAUUGAAAAACUUGAUACUUGAAAAGAAUGGUCAUUUUCAUAUGACCAGAAUUAAUCCUUUCAACUGAUGACCUUUUUUUCAUUGAAAUUGUGGAUGUUUUUAUUUUUAAUGAUUGGUUGAUUCUUGAAUGAUGGAUGAAUUCAAGAUUACAGUACAAUCAGAUCUAUUAAACCAAUAUCUCUACAGUCUUAAGUUUGGAAGUCUUCAGAAAUGAAUUUAACUUUGAAGAAAUUUGACAAAUAUACAUUAAAGGGAGAGUGGGGUAAAUACAUGCAAAUGCCACCUUUUUCAUAAUUCCAAUUAUAUCUUUUUAAUGCACAACGGUAGAGACAUGAUUAGAUGUCUAAUACAAGAUCUACAGUAGACCAAGAGAAAUAUGAGAUCUAAUAAAUUUAAUUUUCAUAUUAAUGAGCAUUAAAUAUUAAUGUCAGUGUGCCUUAUUUUCCCCAUCAAUAUGGGGCAAAUGAGGCCCCUUGAUUAAAAAACAUUUUUUUGUAGCUACAUGUAAGUAUACUCAGAGUAAUAAUAGUUUGGUUUGUUGGAUAAAUCACUUAACAUUUACAGGUAUUUAAUCCCAAAGGCCCCCAUUUAAGGAUUUAUUUAUCAAUCCUAUGCAAUAUUAUGAAAAAAAUAUUGUGGGAUUGUGUUUUAAACUGUUAUAGUGUUCAUUUGUCUACAUUAGUGUACAAGCAGGUGGGAAGGUGUCUACACUGCACUUUACUGUUCUAUGUUAAACCAUAAAGUGUUAAUUAUGUUUUAAUCCUGUGGGCCUCAUAUGCCCAUCAGGCAUGUUAAGUUCAUAGGUUUCCAGUCAGAAGAACAGAGGGAAAGUGGUGAAUUUUUGUACAGUACUGACAUGAACAAUGUACAUGAACUUUUUUACAAAAGUAAACUAAGAUAAAAUUUGAUUCACCUUUGGGUGGGUAGAGUACUCGCCUCUCUAAAGUGGCGAUGCUGCAA